AAGUCCAACAAUGUGGUUGUAUGAAAAGCCACAGGAAGACGGGCUCCAAGGGCACAGACCAUUUAUCAUGCUCAUGUUGCUGCUCCUUGGUACAUAGCUGCUCUGAAUGAGCAAACUCCACAGAAAAGAUGAAAUUUGAGGAUCUCUUGCUGGAAAUUGGGGGGUUUGGCAGGUUCCAGAUCUUGAUUUUGUUUAUCCUCUGCCUCCCAAGAAUCAACCUUCCUAUGCAUUUCCUGCUGCACAAUUUUCUUGCUGCUACCCCCUCUCAUCACUGUGCAAUUCCACACCAAGAGGCAUUUGUGAAUCUCACGAUGGAAGAAAUUCUGCUCAUCAGCAUCCCUCGGGAGCCCGAUGGCACUUUCAAGUCCUGUGAGAUGUUCUCACAGCCUCAGUUCCACCUGCUGCUCAACUCCUCUCUGCAACCGGAGAACAACUCCAUCAUCCAGCACUGCCAGCAUGGAUGGGUCUAUGACCACUCACAGUUCACCUCCACCAUCUCCACCCAGUGGGACCUUGUGUGCGAGCAGCGUGGACUGAACCAGGCAACCGCAACCUUCUUCUUCAUUGGUGUUACGAUGGGGGCUGUGGUAUUCGGAUACCUUUCAGACAGGUUCGGACGAAAAGCCAUGCUCCUGCUCUCACUUAUGUUCUCUAUCAUAUUUGGGAUGCUAAGCGCUGCCUCCGUCUCCUACAUCAUGAUGGCCAUCACACGGACCCUCACUGGGGUGGCCCUGAGCGGCGUCUCCCUUAUUGUAUUGCCUUUGGGGAUGGAGUGGGUGGACAUACAGCACCGCACCUUCUCUGCGAUCCUGACUAGCAUCUUCUGGAGCAUUGGGAACAUGCUGCUGGCCACAGUAGCGUACCUUGUGCGGGAAUGGCACUGGCUAUUAGUAGCUGUAACGGCACCUUGUCUCCUGAGUAUGGUCUGCCUGUGGUGGGUCCCAGAGUCUGCCCGAUGGCUCAUAGCCAACAACAAAGUGAAACAAGCUCACAGGAAUCUGCUUAGAUGUGCAAGAAUGAACGGAAGGAAAGACUUCACUGUCUCACAAGAGGCCCUCAGAAGGAUGACAACAGACAAAAAGCCAGGAGAGAGUUACUCCUACAUCAGCUUGUUCAGGACACCAGUCCUGCGGAAGAUCUCUCUGUGUUCUGGGGUUGUGUGGUUUGGUGUUGCCUUCUCUUAUUAUGGCAUGAGCCUGAACCUAACUGGCUUUGGGCUCAACAUGUACCUCUCCCAGUUUGUCUUUGGUGUCAUUGAGAUUCCAGCCAAGAUGAUCAUAUAUGUGCUGGUGAAUCGAGCUGGACGACGGCAGAGUCAGGCGUGGACACUCAUCCUGACUGGACUAUGCAUAGGAGCCAAUGUCAUCAUUCCCAAGCCCUUCACCUCCUUGCGCUCUGUAGUAGCUGUUAUGGGCAAAGGCUUCUCAGAAGCUGCAUUCACUACUGUCUACUUGUACACGUCAGAACUUUACCCCACGGUGCUGAGAAUGGGAUGGGGUACACCUCCUUCAUGGCACGUCUUGGCGGGGCUUUGGCCCCUCUUGUGUUUCUGCUGGAUGAGGUGUGGAGGUCUCUGCCUGAGGUGACAUACUGUGGAGUAGCUGUGUGCAGCGGCUCAGUGGCCUUCCUGCUCCCAGAGACACUCAACGUGCGCCUGCCCGAGGUCAUCGAGGACAUCGAGAAGACACAAGUGAAAAGACCACCACAAAACAGCACUCCCGAGGGCAUGCCACUACAGUCUCUGCUGAAGUGAGGGACUCUAUGGGACAGCCACAAUGCAGGACUGCAGACCUGAGCUGUGCUCUGACUGGCCAAUAAAAGAGCCUUUACUGCCCUCCAAGAUUCUUUCUGCUGGCAGGUCGGGCUGAGGACACUGGAGGAAAGAGGCAGAUCACAAAAACAACUGGAGGGGGCUAACCCCUCUCCAUAGUGUGGCCAGGAGCAAGAAUGCAGAGCUCUAACUGGGCGUGGAAAUAAAGGCAUCUUAUGCUAAGCUCUUCCAGUCUUUGGACUUGUUGGACUAGCAGCACCUUUUAUCCAGAAGCUGCAAUCUUUUGGUUUACAAACCACAAGAAAUGCAAUGCAGCAAUAAAAAAAUACUGAGUGUGAAUUGAACAAACCCAAGUAAUCUCAACUAACUGGAUGGUGGAUAAACCAUAAACCAGAGCUAUAAACAUGUCUUGAAUUUUUAAAUGGUCUGGACGUUUUUCACACUGAGGCUCAAAGCCAGCCAAAAGCACGUGCAGGUAUCUCACUGAGAAUGGGGUAACUGCAAGCAUUUGUCCCUGUACACAAAGAAUCAUAGAAUCAUAGAAUCAUAGAAUAGUUUGGGUUGGAAGAGACCUUAGAGAGCAUAUAAUUCCAACCCCCCUGGCAUAGGCAGGGACAAAUCCCACUAGAUCAGGCUGCCCAGGGCCCCAUCCAACCUUGCCUUGAACACCUCCAGGGGUGGGGCAACCACAACUUUCCUGGGCAAGCUGUGCCAAUGCCUCACCACCUUCACAGUGAAGAAAUUCCUCCUUAAGUCUAGU